rnacentral:lncRNA from 1 species
GUUUGAUCAGGUAGAGAGGCUGCUUAUCUGCUGGAACAAGUGGUAUUAUCUCUGUUUGCUGAGAUAUAGAAGGCAAAAUUGGUUCUUGUUCACUUUGGAAGACAAUUAAGUAGUAGCUUGAGGGACAACUUUCAUUGAGAACAAGCUUAACAAGUGAGCCUCUUUCCUCUUCUCCCCAGGUCAUUGUAUUUUGGGGUAUGUUUUUACACGUGGGCAUGUAGUGCUGUGCAGAGAUACAGAGCAGUCUUCCUGAGUUACUCCUGAUAGUGGUGCCUUCUCAUAGCUAGAAACUAGUUCUGCAGAAGAUUGCCCUGAGCUGUGGGAAGGUCUGGAGGCAAGGACGAGUAGUGCUGUAGGAACAAGCAGCAGACACAGUGAGCUAGAAGUUAAUUACACUAGAUGAGUGGAAAAAGUGCUGGAAUGAGGAAAACCAUUGGUCUUGCUUAUAUUGCUGCACUGCAUGUGAAGAAGGGACACUUUCAGACUUUUUUUAUAAGGAAGAUGUUUCUGUGCUGACAGCAUCAGUUCUACCUAAGAGCACAACUGCCAAGACACUUCCACUGAUGGACAGUUCUGACUUUCACCUUCAGAGGAGUCCAAUUCACAAGCUGGAGCAGCUUGUGCCCACCAUGAUAGGAAGGGAGUGGCAAGAGCCAAGCUGCUGCGUGCCAGGCAAAGGUGAAUGACUGUAUUUCUGCCUGGCUGCUAUGUCUUAUUUCUGUCUAAGGAGGAAAAAAUAUCAGUGUUCUUAAUCAUGCAUUUUAAUCAUGCUUGGUGUAACGCUGAAUAAUAUUCUCCUAUAAAUGUGUAUAAAGAGCUUUCCAAAAGAAACCUUAGCAUGCUGACACUCUAUCCGCUUCUAAGACUAUCCAAACAGAAAUUUAGGAAUGAAAACCCUGGGUCAAAACUGGAACGAUGCUGAAUGACUACCAUACCGUCAGUUGGCAGCUCGGCUGAAUAAAAAUUAGCCAAGUACCA